GUGACCAAUGCUCGGGAGAGAGAAUGGCAUAAUUGUUUACCAUGCUCCAAUUUCCAUAUGAGCAAAGUACUGGAACAAAAUAAAGGUGACUUUCAGCCAAUAGGUUCCUUGGACUUGCAUCGUUCCUUUCAGAUUCAUCACUACAGGUGCCCACCCAAGAUGCACAAUAACCCACUAACUGUUUUAAAACCUGAAGAAUGUACAAUACAGAA